rnacentral:pre_miRNA from 1 species
CUUAUUCUCAAACUUUAAAUGGGUUCGAAGUAUGUCUCUCUUUAUUGGAGAUAUAUAUCGAAUACGAAUGACUAGUGAGCCAUUUUU